AACGCACAUUGCACCCUCUAGAAUUCUGGGGGGUAUGCCUGUUCGAGCGUCAUUUCAACCCUCAAGCACUGCUUGGUAUUGGAUGUCAUCUCUUGUUGGUGCAUCUCAAAAGCAUCAAGUAGUACAUUCAGCUUCUAGUGCAGUAAUUUUCUCGCUUUGGAGUUUUAAAUGUAACUGCUGGAAUCCACACUUAAUGGUUGACCUCGGAUCAGGUAGGGAUACCCGCUGAACUUAA
rnacentral:misc_RNA from 1 species